rnacentral:rRNA from 1 species
CGCCGGGGUGAAUACGUUCCCGGGCCUUGUACACACCGCCCGUCAAACCACGAAAGUCGGCAACACCCGAAGCCGGUGACCCAACCUUAGGGAGGGAGCCGUCGAAGGUGGGGUUGGUGAUUGGGGUU